rnacentral:rRNA from 1 species
CUAAGCAGCCAUAUCACCCUGCAGCCCAAGACUGGUUGCCCACUGAAGCUAAGCAGGGUUGAGCCUGGUCAGUACCUGGAUGGGAGACCUCCUGGGAUAACUGGGUUGCUGUUGGAA